AUUGAACGCUGGCGGCAUGCCUUACACAUGCAAGUCGAACGGUAACAGGUCUUCGGAUGCUGACGAGUGGCGAACGGGUGAGUAAUACAUCGGAACGUGCCUAGUAGUGGGGGAUAACUACUCGAAAGAGUGGCUAAUACCGCAUGAGAUCUACGGAUGAAAGCAGGGGAUAGCAAGACCUUGUGCUAAUAGAGCGGCCGAUGGGAGAGUUAGGUAGUUGGUGGGAUAAAAGCUUACCAAGCCGACGAUCUGUAGCUGGUCUGAGAGGACGAUCAGCCACACUGGGACGGAAACACGGCCCAGACUCCUACGGGAGGCAGCAGUGGGGAAUUUUGGACAAUGAGCGCAAGCCUGAUCCAGCAAUGCCGCGUGCAGGAUGAAGGCCUUCGGGUUGUAAACUGCUUUUGUACGGAACGAAAAGCCCCGGGUUAAUACCCUGGGGUCAUGACGGUACCGUAAGAAUAAACACCGGCUAACUACGUGCCAGCAGCCGCAGUAAGAC
rnacentral:rRNA from 1 species